rnacentral:lncRNA from 13 species
CUAUGAGAGUGACUCUGAAAGAAAAAAAAUAAGUAUUGGAAGCUAUACACAAAAAUAAUUGGCAUUUCUUUUAAAGUAGUUAUGUCAGGCAUGGAUAAACAACAUAACCAAAUAAGGCAUAUGUCAGACACACAAGGUUGACUCACCAUCCAAAAAUGACGUGAUUUACCAUAUUAACACACUAAAAAAAAAAAAACCUGAAUAAUCACCUAGAUACAGAAAAAGCAUUUGACAAACUCCAACAUCAAUUGCUCUUAGCAAAUUUGGAAGAAAGGUUAACUUCCUGGCCCAUAGAAAGGGGAUCAACAGAAAAUGCACAGUAAACAUUAUAUUUUUAUAUAAUAUAUACUUAUAUUAUAUUAUAUUAUAUUAUAUUAUAUUAUAUUAUAUUAUAUUAUAUUAUAUUAUAUUAUCAAGGAGGAGCUGGUACUACAGGCAGGCACCACUACAUCUGGCUUUUUAAUUUUUUGUGGAACUGGGUCUUCCUAUGUUGCCCAAGCUGGUCUCGAACUCCUGGGCUCAUGUGAUCCUCCCAACCUUGACUCCCAAAGUGCUAGAAUUAUAGGCAAGAGUCACCGCACCCAGUUCCAACUGUUUUUUGGUUAUUUCUUUUCUUUUUUUUUUUUUUUUAAGACAGAAUCUCUCUCUGUUUCCCAGGCUGCAGUGCCGUGGCUUGAUCUCAGCUCACUGCAACUUCCGCCUCCCGGGAGAAUCGCUUUAAUCUGGGAGGCUGAGGUUGCAGUGAGUGGAGAUCAUGCCACUGCACUCCAGCCUGGGUGACAGAGCCAGACUCCGUCUCAAAAAAGAAAAGUAUACUGGAUAGCAUUAACAAGAGAUAACACAUUGCAGUGGAAGAGGUUAUUGAGCAAGAAAAAAGGAAAUUAGCAAUGAUAUAAAAGAAUUAAACAAUACUGUCAACAAAUUUGGCCUAAUUUUUGAACACUCCUUCCAAAAAUAGCAAAAUACACAUUCUUUUUCCAAGCACAUGCAGAGUAUUUAGCAACAUAAACCAUAUGGUAGGCCAUAAAAAGAGUUAAUAAAUUUAAAAUAAUUCAAGCCA